UUGUAUCUAUGGUGUGAGGCAAGGAUUCAGGCUCCAUCUUCCCCCAUUGGAUAUCUGGUUUCUCUAACUCUGUGUGCUGAAGCAUCAUUGCCUCUCCAUUGAAUGGCCUUGGUUCCACUGUGAGGCACGGGCUGAUGAGGUGUGUGAGGGUUACCACUGGGCUCCCUCUUCUGAUCCACUGGCCUUGGCAUCUGUCUCUAUGCCAGCAACCUGCGUAGACUCUGGCAGCUUUGUGGAGUGCUGAAAUCAGAAAGUAAGAGACCUUCAGUUUUGUUCUUAUUUUUUCAAGAUUGUUUUAGCAACUAAGAUUCUGUUGGAUUUUAGGACAGAUUUUCCUGUUCCUGCGAAAGUAUCCCUUAAGGGUUUCGAUAGAUUGUGUUAUGUCUGCAGGCCGUCCUGGGCUGUGCUCCCAUGUUAAUGACAUGACACCUCCCAAUGCAGGAACACCCUAGGUCUUUCUCUUUUUUAUUCCCUAAUUUCCUCCAGCCAUGUUGUAUAUUUUUCAGGGCACAAGUCCUUAGCUCCCUGGUUAGGUUUAUUCCUCUGUCCCUUUUGAUGCUAUUGUAAAUGAAACUGUUUCCUAGUUUCCUUUCAGGUUGACUAUUGUUGCUGGACUCUCCCUUGAUGGCUGAGGAUGGUUGUCCAGCUGCUGCACAGCCUUGACCCCUUCUCCUCUAGGCUGAAGGAGCCCUGGGCAACCCCAGUCCAGCCCUGGAGAAGGACUCACAUCCAGAGAGGCCUGAGACUUGCAGUGCUCUAGGUGGCCCUGCUCACACUUGUGCCUUGUCAGCAUCCAGGAUCGAUGCCUGCUGAGUCCUGUGCAGCCUUUUUCUGGCCUCAGGCUGAAUAAAUUGAAUUUGUAAAUAAAUAGAUAUUUUAAAAAACCCUGCAAACCUCAGAAAAGGGCCACAGCUCCUCCUCGGACCCCAAAACUGAUGGGCUCUGACCCGGCUUUGUGCCAGUGGAAGUGUGUGGGCUCCACACCACCCUGGAUGGAGGCAGUGGCUGGGUGGAGACCCGAGCUCCAUUGUCCCUGCUGUCCUUUCUCCUGUAAACUUUGCAGCCCAGAGGGAGGCUGCGUGGGUGUGGGGGCUGGCCGGCCCCUGCCCAAGGCUCCUUAUCUGUGGCCGCACUGCUGGAGCUGGGCCAGGGCUGCCCCACCCCUGCCCUUCCACACUGACUUUGCAGUUCCUGGAAUUGUUGGACAGCUCAGGUCCCUUGGAACAGCUGCUGCUGAGAAAGGGAAGGGCCGUCCUGAUUGACCCUGGAACCCCUGCCUUGGGGCCCUGAGGUCAGACUCCCUUCUGCCAGAGUGCACGUGGUUCCAGCUCAUGGGACAAGGCCAGCCCUAUGGACACGGGAGGCCGAUGUUCCUGGCCUGGUCCUCCGGAGGAAGCCCUUAUGUCCCACAGGAUGUGCCUCUGCCGAAACAGCCACCAGCUCUGCUAGGAAGCCUGGAAUUCAGACCAGAAAGAAGAGGAGGCACAACGCCUGGGCCACUGGGUGCUGACACCUGACACAGCCACCUCCUCCUGUCAUGGCGCCGACUUCAGUUGUGACAGGGCUGCCCGACUUAAAGUUGUGCGCUUACCCAAGAUGAAAAUGCCUGGUGUCUAUCAAGGGCCUCUAGACAAGAUCUCUGCAGAAGUACCUCUGACUACCAUUCAAUAAAUGCGACCCUGUUCAGCUUGAAGAAGUCUGAUCAGUCAUCACCCAUUACCCCCUCACGGCAUUUCGGGUUGCUUCUUCAUUGUUGCGGGCAGCACUUAGUUAGAAAUAUUAUAGGCAGUGAGACAGGUCUAGAUCCUCAAAGAAGCCAGUGCAGAUACCUUACAGAUGUUGGGGAGACAGAGAUAACUCCUGCUUGUAUGCCAGGCCUCAAGACAAAGGAUCAAACAAAUGCAUCCACAUCCCAAAGACUGGUAUUCUAAUUAGUUCCCUAUCACCCUGGAGUCACUGUCCCAUCCCCCUAGGGGAAAGUUCACAACUCCAAGAAAGCCCACUUCCUACAUGGCUUGCUUUCCCAUUUGUCCCCAAUUUAAUCAACCUUAUCUGAACUGUUAAUUUUAUUGGCUAACUAUAGUUAUGCCCCAACUUAUACCCGUCUGCCUUGUAAGUUCCCAGUCCCCACCUCCACCCCCUUCUUGAACCCAUGGUUUUACUCUAUAAAAGACAGUGUCUUGGGCAGCCAGCUCGGGACCCCCUUCUGUCUCACUUCAGACAGAGGCUUCCUUUCUCUCAAUAAAUGUAUUCUACUGUUAACCUCCA